AGGUGAACUACAAGCUGAUCUCCCAGUGGUACAGAACACCAGCAAAACUACACAGGACAUUCCCAGGGGUUCCAGAUACUUGCUGGAGAUGCGAAACGCAGCGAGGUACACUGCGCCACAUUUGGUGGGAUUGCCCUGGGAUCAAGCCAUUCUGGGAGGAGAUACAGCGGGAAAUCACUACAAUUCUGGGUGAUCCACCAGACUUUAGCAUAGAGGC